rnacentral:misc_RNA from 1 species
AACUGAUACUACCUGCGGGAACCUGCGGAAGGAUCAUUACUGAAGUGAUUUGGGGAUGUUGCUGGCCCUCUCUUAAGGGGGGGCACUGUGCACUCCUCGAAACAAUUCACAAUUUCCAUCACACCCCUUGUGCACACCUUGUAGGCACCCAAACCCACCUCCGGGUGGUGGGGUCCUAUGUAUUCCUUCAUCUCACACUCUGUUGAAUGGUGCCAUGGGACGCAUCUAAAGGAUUAUUUG